GACGAACGCUGGCGGCGUGCUUAACACAUGCAAGUCGAGCGGUAAGGCCCUUUCGGGGGUACACGAGCGGCGAACGGGUGAGUAACACGUGGGUGACCUGCCCUCAGCUCUGGGAUAAGCCUGGGAAACCGGGUCUAAUACUAGAUAUGACUCCAUGACGCAUGUUGUGGGGUGGAAAGCCUUGUGCGGCUGAGGAUGGGGCCCGCGGCCUACCAGCUUGUUGGUGGGGUGAUGGCCUACCAAGGCGACGACGGGUAGCCGGCCUGAGAGGGCGACCGGCCACACUGGGACUGAGACACGGCCCAGACUCCUACGGGCGGCAGCAGUGGGGAAUCUUGCGCAAUGGGCGAAAGCCUGACGCAGCGACGCCGCGUGAGGGAUGACGG
rnacentral:rRNA from 1 species